UAAGUACAAUCCCAUAAAUGGAUACAAUAUAAAACCUCAUUGUACAUUUUUUUUCAACUUACAAGCACAAAACAUUGAUCGAAAAGAUACACUAUUCACUUGAUUCUAUAUUCUACCAAGCAUUGAAAGCACAAGGCUUUUCCAGCAGAGGAGGACUGACCAAAUUACAAUGACUUUUACCUGGAUUCACAGCAAGAGAAUAAUAACACACCUAACAUCAAAUUUA
rnacentral:misc_RNA from 1 species